AUUAUAGUGUAAGUAUUUCCCAUAUAAUAUUUGGAGCACACUUAUACUAAAA
rnacentral:miRNA from 1 species